rnacentral:rRNA from 1 species
CUGUUUAUCAAAAACAUAGCUAUAGGUUAACUUUCUGUAGUGAUUUCUGCUCCAUGUUAAAAUAAAUAGCCGCAGUACCCUGACUGUGCUAAGGUAGCAUAAUCAAUAGGCUUAUAAUUUAAGUCUGGAAUGAAUGAAAAUUUGGGGGGGGACUGUCUCGUCUGAAUUAUUUGAAUUUUUUUAAAAAGUGCAAAAACUUUUAUGGAAAUAUUAGACGAGAAGACCCUAGAAAUUUUUUAAAUUAUUUUGUUGGGGCGACAAAGUAACAAUUAACUUACUUAUGUAUAUUAGAAGUGUUUAUACAGCAUAUAUAAAUUACUCUAGGGAUAACAGCAUAAUUUCAACAAGCUUGUGACCUCGAUGUUGGACUAGGUAUUCUUAGGUUUAGAAGAUUUAAGUUUUAAGCUCUGUUCGAGCGAUAUUACCUACCUGAUCUGGAUUCAGACCGGA